rnacentral:tRNA from 1 species
GCCCUGGUAGUUUAAUGACAAAACAUCGGUUUUGUAAUCCGAAGACUGAAGAUUAAAACUCUUCCCAGCGCC